rnacentral:rRNA from 1 species
CGAAAGCCUGACGGAGCAAUACCGCGUGAGGGAGGAAGGCUUUUGGGUUGUAAACCUCUUUUCUUAGGGAAGAAGCAAGUGACGGUACCUAAGGAAUCAGCAUCGGCUAACUCCGUGCCAGCAGCCGCGGUAAUACGGAGGAUGCAAGCGUUAUCCGGAAUCAUUGGGCGUAAAGCGUCCGCAGGUGGCUCAUCAAGUCUGCUGUUAAAGACAGAAGCUUAACUUCUGAUAGGCGGUGGAAACUGGUGAGCUUGAGUACGGUAGGGGUUGAGGGAAUUCCCAGUGUAGCGGUGAAAUGCGUAGAUAUUGGGAAGAACACCAGUGGCGAAGGCGCUCAACUGGGCCGUAACUGACACUCAGGGACGAAAGCUAGGGGAGCG